rnacentral:rRNA from 1 species
AGACGGGACCCGCACAAGCGGUGGAUGAUGUGGUUUAAUUCGAUGCAACGCGAAAACCUUACCCACCUUUGACAUGGCAGGAAUCCUGAAGAGAUUUGGGAGUGCUCGAAAGAGAACCUGCACACAGGUGCUGCAUGGCUGUCGUCAGCUCGUGCCGUGAGAUGUAGGGUUAAGUCCCGCAACGAGCGCAACCCUUGUCAUUAGUUGCUACAUUCAGUUGGGCACUCUAAUGAGACUGCCGGUGACAAGCCGGAGGAAGGUGGGGAUGACGUCAAGUCCUCAUGGCCCUUAUAGGUGGGGCUACACACGUCAUACAAUGGCUGGUACAAAGGGUUGCCAACCCGCGAGGGGGAGCCAAUCCCAUAAAGCCAGUCGUAGUCCGGAUCGUAGUCUGCAACUCGACUACGUGAAGUCGGAAUCGCUAGUAAUCGCGGAUCAGCAUGCCGCGGUGAAUACGUUCCCGGGCCUU